CUCUUACUGCAUCUCUUGUUACUACCAUCCAACAUGAUCAGUGUUAUAAUCAGUCUGCCUUUCCUGCUCUACUGCACUCCAGUUUUAGCAGAAGAUAACGGAGUCUACCAAAACCCCAGUGUCCUCUGGCAGGUGAAAGGAGAAUCUGCUGAAAUGAAGUGCAGUCACAAUAAAGGUGGCACCUACUAUCAGAUGUAUUGGUACAGGCAGCGCCAAGGAGAGAGCAUGGAGUUCAUUGUGUACAUAAAAACUAAAAGUCAACCAGAGUUUGGCUCUGUGUAUAAAAAUAAAUUUUCUACUGUUAAAGAAAUUGACGCGAAUGGAUCUUUAACUGUGAAGGAUCUGGAUAUAGAGGACAGCGCUGUGUAUUUCUGUGCAGUAAAAACACACAGUGUUACAGAGUUACUGCACUGCUGA